rnacentral:rRNA from 1 species
GAUGAACGCUGGCGGCGUGCCUAAUACAUGCAAGUCGAGCGAACAGACGAGGAGCUUGCUCCUCUGACGUUAGCGGCGGACGGGUGAGUAACACGUGGAUAACCUACCUAUAAGACUGGGAUAACUUCGGGAAACCGGAGCUAAUACCGGAUAAUAUAUUGAACCGCAUGGUUCAAUAGUGAAAGACGGUUUUGCUGUCACUUAUAGAUGGAUCCGCGCCGCAUUAGCUAGUUGGUAAGGUAACGGCUUACCAAGGCAACGAUGCGUAGCCGACCUGAGAGGGUGAUCGGCCACACUAGAACGGAGACACGGUCCAGACUCCUAAGGGAGGCAGCAGUAGGGAAUCGUCCGCAAUGGGGGAAAGCUUGACGGAGCAACGCCGCGUGAGUGAUGAAGGUCUUCGGAUCGUAAAACUCUGUUAUUAGGGAAGAACAAAUGUGUAAGUAAAUAUGCACGUCUUGACGGUACCUAAUCAGAAAGCCACGGCUAACUACGUG